CUCAAUUGAGAAAAAGCCAAGAAAUGAAAGAAGUGAGAUUGCAGAGAGGCGCACAGAACAGACAUUGUUGUUAGCCGCACGUGCUUCGUUAUCGGACACAGCCCCUUUCUUGCGGUGGUUCUCAUCCUUCCUGCGGCCGAGAGACGCACCAGCAAAUCCGGCCUCUAUUUUAUCGUUCUCAAAAUCCAAUUCCCCAACUCAUUUGUAGCGCGGAUUCUUUAUUUCCCUUCACAAUCUUGUCCUAAUUAUUUGACCCAUCUCGCUCUUCUUCAGCAAUGGCUGUCAAUUCCUCGACCCAUCUCGCUCCUCCGCCGCUUCGUUCGCUGCCUCGUUCCUCCUUCGCUUUCUUUUCUCGCAUCUUCUUGCACCCUGUUUCGCCCACUGGCUUCCCUAGGCGGAGCCUCGUCUCAGUUCGUGCUCAGGCGCCGACUCCCGAUGGCUAUGGAUCCAAGCAGCCGCUCCGUUUGGGGGAAUCUGGACCUUUGAUCGAGUCCACUGGUUCGCCGUCGUCGUCAUCGGUUAUCGAUUUCCUUACAUUGUGCCAUCGGCUUAAGACUACGAAGAGAAAGGGCUGGAUCAAUCAUGGAAUAAAUGGUCCCGAAUCAAUUGCUGAUCAUAUGUACCGCAUGGCUUUGAUGAGUUUGAUAGCCGGUGAUCUUCCAGGAGUGAAUAGAGAAAGGUGUAUCAAGAUAGCUCUUGUGCAUGAUAUUGCUGAAGCUAUUGUUGGAGAUAUUACGCCAUCUGAUGGUGUGCCGAAAGAAGAAAAGAGCAGAAGAGAGUCAGCAGCUUUAAAUGAAAUGUGCCAACUUCUUGGUGGAGGCAUGAGAGCUGAAGAGAUCAAAGAACUUUGGACCGAGUACGAAAACAAUUCUUCAUUGGAGGCUAAUCUUGUGAAGGACUUCGAUAAAGUUGAAUUGAUCCUUCAAGCAUUUGAAUAUGAAAUAGAACAUGGGAGGGCGCUUGAUGAGUUCUUCCAUUCAACAGCUGGAAAGUUUCAGACUGAUGUAGGAAAGAGUUGGGCAGCUGAGGUAUUGUCCAGAAGGAAUUCAAGAUUGACAAACAGACAUAAUUGAUCUUCUUUAGGUACUUCUUCCUUUAUUGUUCAUCCAACUCACAUACACACAAGUUAAGAAAGUUGGAAUUUGUGUAUCUUAGAACAACACACUCUCCUGGUGAUGCCUGCUGGGAGAAGUGGCUUUAGUUGUUGUUAUUGUUAUAAUCGAAUUUCUAAAUUUAGGAUUCUUCGGUUAAAUUAUAAAUUUAAUUGGUACCUAUUUGGUCUUU